AUGACGAGGUCGUUGAGGACGCCCGCCAUGGCCUCCGGCGUGAACUGUUGCGGCUGCGGGGGAGGUGAUGGCGGCGACGAGUGUUGGACGGGGGCCUGUGGCUGCCCUUGGCCCGGCGUGGUGCCGGGUGCCGUUAGGACCGGCGCUGAGAGCGACGCAGUGGUGCCCGCCGAGAGCGAGGCCGUGACGCCCGGCGCAGAGGCGGCGAUGGUGGAGGAGUUGGCGGGCAACGGUGGUGGUGGCGGUGGAAUUGGCGGAGACAUGGUCGAAACCCGGUUACCUGAUACCAAAUUGGUAGGAUCAAGUACUCUACCAGGUCUAGGGCGUAGGUGGUAA
rnacentral:rRNA from 1 species